ACAGCAGCUCCAUUAUUAUUGGGCGGCACCGUCAACUCUCUUCUCUCAAACACUUUUCGGAUCUCUCCUCGUUAUAAGCCUGGGCUACGAUCGUAAUUUAUCGUGCCACAUUGUACUGUGACGGUGAAGAUAAAUUAUUAAAUUGAAUUCAAGUUAUUUUUCAAGAAAUUGCCGAUAUUGGAUUUACGACUCUAUUCCUCUGGAUCUACUAAUUGAAGAUUCACAGCAAAAAUUGAAUUAUCGUGCCGAAAUCCGAUUAAUAAAAAUUGAGAUGGAUGUAGAUUGAAGAAUA